ACCACCCACCUUGGCCGCCCAAAGUGCUGGGAUUACAGCCUGCCAACUUUCAGAAGAGAACUUACACCAUCGUCCCUCCUGGUCCUCAGCCCUUCAGUCUCCAACAGCAGCUAUGCCGUCAGCUCUCCAGCUUGCUGCCUGCAGAUCUUGGGGCUUCUCAGCCUCCAUCGUCACAUGAGCCAAUUCCUUCUAAUAAAUCUCUUUCUGACAUAUAUAAA